AGCUCUGGUAACGAUUGAAGCAUAUUGCAAUUUCUCAAUUCAAGAGUUCUCAGCCGUCAAAGUUGCUUGAUACUUAUAGGUAAACUCACCAGGUUAUUUCGAGUUAGAUGUAAGCUUUCCAAUGAGGAUAGACAGCCAAUACUUGCAGGUAAACUCUCCAACUUAUUUUCAACUAGAUUCAUUCUUGUCAAAGAGGAUAGAGAGCCAAUACUUGCAGGUAAACUCCGAAAGUUAUUUCCACGUAGAUUUAACUCUUUUAAUGAGGAUAGACAAUCAAUAUCUUGCGGAAUUUCCAUUAUGGCACAGUAACUUAAAUCUAGCCGUACCACACGUGAUAACAUAUUGUUGACAUUAUGAAAAUACAAG
rnacentral:lncRNA from 1 species